rnacentral:lncRNA from 1 species
UUGCAGUUCCUGAGUCCGUGUAAUCCAUUAAGCGUGUGUAAGAAAGGCCUAAUCCUUUUUUUUGCCGAAAGGGUUAGAGGGUUACAGUGCUAAGUGUGAAUCCUAUCUUUACUAUGGGUUAGACCGCACGAGUGAGCAAGCCUCUUCAAGAAAAUUGCUUUCGCAAGCAAGUUCAUUUGAAAGAAGUUAAAUCCUUGAGGUAAGUGCAAACUAGCUAGGAAGUCAUUGAGCAAGAUAUCUAGUUAAAGUCCUAAUUUUUAAUCAUGCAUUUUCUUUUAAGGUCUUACCCUGGAGUUCCAUCGUUAACCCCUUGUUUAGCGCUCGCCAGCCAAUGAGAAAGUUUUCAAGCAGACAAGUGAGUUCCUUUUGAAGAGAAAGGUAGGAGUCAAGCAAUAAAGGCUAGUCUGUCUCUUUUGCUGUCGGUGCAAGCAAGUAAAGUACCAGUCCUAGGUAGACCGCUAAUACAUUUCUUGCUGUCCCUGGGGGGGAAAGGGACAAAGAUAAUGGAUACAUGUAGGGUAAGCUGGUAGGUAGCAUGUCUAGGGGAUGAGCCCGAAUAAGAGAUUGCCCUUUAUCAUUAUCAGUGGGUCAUUUGUCUACUUCACUCUUGCCUUUCCCAAGAGUGUCAUUGUAACAUUUCUUGUGGGAGUGUAGGAUUCCUGUUCUGAGGAGGAUUAGCGUUCUGAGAUUACCUAGUGUUAUUCCCUUCCAUUUAGAUUAGAUAUUUAGAUGUAGUUAAUCCUCUUGUUUCUAUGGUAUGGUGGACUAUCGGGCAUAGUUAGACAUUAAUUAGUAUUAUUUUUGAAUUUAUUUGCCAGUCAGUCCAUUGCUAAUCCCAGGCGAACGAAUAGCUUUCUUUCAUAGGCAGGAAUUGCUGGCCAUUCACCUUCAAUUUCAUUUCUUUUUUGAAGGGAAGGCCUAGCCCCUCUGCCUCGGUCAGAAUCCUAACUUUAAUCUCGCACAAGUCAAGCUCUCACAACAGGGAACAAUUCAUAGAGCUGAUGCUGAUCUGCCUCCUUGAAAGGAAAUCCUCGCACUUCGGGAAGGCUUGGAGGUGUGAAUUCGGUAUGGUCACAUGAUCCAACAUUUUCUCAUUUCGUCUUGAGAAAAAGAAUAUGUAAUGGAAGUCGCUCGCUAGGGCAUUACAGGCUGCCCCUUUCGGUCUGGGUUUUCCACCUUCGUUAGAUUACACGGAUCCAACCGAAAAGAUCUCUCAUUUUGCGCGAGGUUUCGACCUCUAUAGACAAUGAAGUUUAUCUCUUCCUAUACCACAAAUGAGAAAGAGACCUAUUUGACUGCCAUGGAUGCUUGCUGCUCCCAGUACUAGUUCCAUGUCUCAAUCAAGGGAGUAGAAAACUGGGAUUGAAGGAGCCAAGGAAGAGAUCAAGUGUUAGGUGCUUCCACGAGCUGCUUGGUAGAAGCCUUUGUCCGUCAACACAGAAGAGAGGAGUUUGGCUGGGAUGGAUAUGCUCCUCUAUCAGUUCCUAUUCCAGUAUCAACAAAUGAGGCUAACGGUUUGACAGUGACAAGGGGAUGGUCAAGUACGGGUUGUUCCAUCAAAGCUUGUUCGAUUCCUUCUUUCAGUCUCCCACGUACCCUAAAGAAAGAGAUUUGACUCAA